rnacentral:misc_RNA from 1 species
AAGUCGUAACAAGGUUUCCGUAGGUGAACCUGCGGAAGGAUUAUUAUAAGAAACGAGGCUACGUGCCCCGCUCUUUACCUUGCCUACUGCACUAUCUGUUGCUUCCUGGCGGUGGUUUGCCUGCCGCUAGGGACAUUGUAAAGCCCUGCAUAAGUAUUGAAAAACUGAAACAAACCGAAUCGUACAACUUUCAACAAUGGAUCUCUUGGUUCUG